rnacentral:rRNA from 1 species
AGCGCAUGCGGUGGAUGCCUUGGCGACCACAGGCGAUGAAAGACGUGGCAGCCUGCGAAAAGCUCCGGGGAGUUGGCAAAUAAGCGUUGAUCCGGAGAUCUCUGAAUGGGGAAACCCACCCGCAAGGGUAUCCCGGCCCCAAUCCAUAAGGCCGGGAAGCGAACCCGGGGAACUGAAACAUCUCAGUACCCGGAGGAACAGAAAUCAACCGAGAUUCCGCCAGUAGCGGCGAGCGAACGCGGAACAGCCACCGGCAGCUAACCAUCGGGUUAGGAGAACGGCCUGGAAAGGCCGGCCACAGCGGGUGACAGCCCCGUAUCCGACAACCCGAUGGCGAGACUAAGGCCGGGACAAGUAAGGCGGGGCACGUGAAACCCUGUCCGAACAUGGGGGGACCAUCCUCCAAGGCUAAAUACUCGUGGUCGACCGAUAGCGAACCAGUACCGUGAGGGAAAGGCGAAAAGAACCCCGGCGAGGGGAGUGAAAUAGAACCUGAAACCGCAUGCGUGCAAGCAGUCGGAGCCCCUACGGGGGUGACGGCGUACCUUUUGUAUAAUGGGUCAGCGACUUACUUUCAGUGGCGAGCUUAACCGGUAGGGGAAGCGCAGGGAAACCGAGUCCGAAUAGGGCGCACAGUCGCUGGGAGUAGACCCGAAACCGAGCGAUCUAUCCAUGACCAGGCUGAAGGUGGGGUAACACCCACUGAAGGGCCGAACCCACGUCUGUUGAAAAAGCCGGGGAUGAGUUGUGGAUCGGAGUGAAAGGCUAAUCAAGCUCGGAGAUAGCUGGUUCUCCCCGAAAGCUAUUGAGGUAGCGCCUCGUGUCUCACUCCCGGGGGUAGAGCACUGUUUCGGCUAGGGGGCCAUCCCGGCUUACCAACCCGAGGCAAACUCCGAAUACCGGGAAGUGCAAUCGCGGGAGACACACGGCGGGUGCGAACAUCCGUCGUGAAGAGGGAAACAACCCAGACCGCCAGCUAAGGUCCCCAAAUUGCGGCUCAGUGGGAAACGAUGUGGGAAGGCCCAGACAGCCAGGAGGUUGGCUUAGAAGCAGCCAUCCUUUAAAGAAAGCGUAAUAGCUCACUGGUCGAGUCGGCCCGCGCGGAAGAUUCACCGGGGCUUAAGCCGCAUGCCGAAGCUGCGGAGGCCGCAAGGCCUGGUAGGGGAGCGUUCCGUACACCGUUGAAGGUUCACCGUGAGGUGGGCUGGAGGUAUCGGAAGUGCGAAUGCUGACAUAAGUAACGAUCAUGCGGGUGAAAACCCCGCACGCCGAAUGCCCAAGGGUUCCUGCGCAACGGCAAUCGGCGCAGGGUGAGUCGGCCCCUAAGGCGAGGCCGAAAGGCGUAGUCGAUGGGAAACCGGUCAACAAUCCGGUACUGGCGCGAACUGCGAUGGGGGGACGGAGAAGGCUAAGCCGACCGGCGAUUGGUAGUGCCGGUUCAAGCGCGUAGGCAGGCCGACCAGGCAAAUCCGGCCGGUCAAUGCCGAGACGCGACGACGAGCCCCUCGGGGCGAAGCGGCCCACGCCCGGCUUCCAAGAAAAGCCUCUAAGCUUCAGGUUCGCGCCACCCGUACCCGAAACCGACACAGGUGGGCGAGGAGAGCAUCCUCAGGCGCUGGAGAGAACUCGGGUGAAGGAACUCGGCAAACUAGCACCGUAACUUCGGGAGAAGGUGCGCCCGCAGUAGGUGAAAGCCCUCGCGGCUGGAGCUGAGGCGGGCCGCAGUGACCAGGUGGCUGCGACUGUUUACUAAAAACACAGCACUCUGCCAACACGAAAGUGGACGUAUAGGGUGUGACGCCUGCCCGGUGCCGGAAGGUUAAGUGAUGGGGUCAGCGCAAGCGAAGCUCUUGAUCGAAGCCCCGGUAAACGGCGGCCGUAACUAUAACGGUCCUAAGGUAGCGAAAUUCCUUGUCGGGUAAGUUCCGACCUGCACGAAUGGCGUAACGAUGGCCACACUGUCUCCUCCUGAGACUCAGCGAAGUUGAAAUGUUUGUGAUGAUGCAAUCUCCCCGCGGAAAGACGGAAAGACCCCAUGAACCUUUACUGUAGCUUUGUAUUGGACUUUGAACAGAUCUGUGUAGGAUAGGUGGGAGGCUUUGAAGUGCGGUCGCUAGAUCGCAUGGAGCCAACCUUGAAAUACCACCCUGAAAUGUUCGGACUUCUAACCUUGGCCCGUAAUCCGGGUCGGGGACCGUGUAUGGUGGGUAGUUUGACUGGGGCGGUCUCCUCCCAAAGAGU